rnacentral:lncRNA from 1 species
AAAUACUUAGAAAAACAGAAACAAUUGCAGAAGAAAAGGGUUAAACCUGUUUUCUCCAAAGAUAAUAAAAGUGAUGACAAACUUAAUACUAGUUAUGGCAAUUCUCAUUCUGGGACUGAAUUUUGAAGUAGUAAAAGGCAUUCCCAACACCAACUUGACAAAGGUCCAGUGCAACAGCAGACAAUAUUUCAAAGAUGAUCCUUUUGCCAUAAGUCUAGCCUAUGUUGUUGCAGAACUAGUGAGCACCACGCCGUCUCGCCACAGAUAUGACUACUACAACAUUUCUCCCUAUCCAAACGCUUUUGCAUAUGGACAUGCUGCUUGCAACAACAACAAAACUACUACUCUAACCAAACAAGAUUGUAAAACUUGUUUGGCUUCAGCUAAAGAUAGUUUGCUUAUUAGUUGUGAUGCUAGAAUUGGAGGUCGUGUUUUGCUUGUUGAUUGUACAAUAAGGUAUGAACAAUACCCUUUUGACGAUUAAUCUCAGAAUUAAGCUGUCUUGAAAAACUGGGAUAAUACAUGUAUUCUUGUCUACCUUGGUGCUACAUAACAACAUUGAGGUAUGAACAAUACCCUUUUAACGAUUAACCUCCGAAUUAAGCUGUCUUGAAAAUCUGGGAUUAAACAUGUAUGCUUGUCUACCUUGGUGCUACAUAACAACAUUUUCAUGUUCCUUUUGACAUUUCCCUUAUAUAUAGGGAGGAUUCUUGUCCUUCGUGAGUAAUUAUUUGAUUGCUUUAACACUUUUUAUCUAUUUUUACUGAUUUACCACUAGAAGAAUUAUUACUUUGAGAGUUACAAAGAAGAAAUC